rnacentral:rRNA from 1 species
AGAGUUUGAUCCUGGCUCAGGAUGAAUGCUGGCGGCGUGCCUAACACAUGCAAGUCGAGCGGCAGCGAGUUUUACACUGAAUUCUGGAAGCUUCUGGGUAAUAUAGAAGAUCUAUUCAAGAAUUUUGUGUAAAAUGUCGGCGAGCGGCGGACGGCUGAGUAACGCGUAGGAAUUUGCCCCAAAGUGAGGAAUAACUGCCCGAAAGGGUAGCUAAUGCCGCAUAUGGUCUUCGGAUUAAAGCCUUCGGGCGCUUUGGGAGAAGCCUGCGUUGGAUUAGGUAGUUGGUAGGGUAAUGGCCUACCAAGCCGACGAUCCAUAGCUGGUCUGAGAGGAUGAUCAGCCAGACUGGAACUGAGACACGGUCCAGACUCCUACGGGAGGCAGCAGUGAGGAAUCUUCCACAAUGGGCGAAAGCCUGAUGGAGCAACGCCGCGUGAAGGAUGAAGGCCUUCGGGUUGUAAACUUCUUUUAUGAGUGAAGAAUAUGACGGUAACUCAUGAAUAAGCACCGGCUAACUACGUGCCAGCAGCCGCGGU